CUAGUCUUUUUGGCAGGCUUUGGAAAAGGCCUGUUUCCUGGCAGGAGGAAAAGCCAGCCUUGGCUUCAAGCAGUCACUGACAAUUCCCAGCAUAUGGUAAGAGAGGGAGCUUCCGCCUACCCCAUCAGGAGACUUGAAAAAACCUUAGAAGGCACAGAGAUACAUCCCUAAAAGCCUAGAAGAAGACUGAUACUGAGAAGCCUUCAGACUCCUUUCCAUGAUGGCCUAUUCUUACAGAACACUGAAAACAGUUUAAAUAAGUGCAGAGACACUGCCACUGUGUCACCCUCUUUUGAUGCCAAGUCUCCCCAAGGAGGAGAUAACUAUUUCUUAGCUAUAGACUGGAGAACUGCCUUUGGUUCAACAGCAGGAUGUAAACACUUCUUUCUUGGGCUGCACUGUAUUUAUACUGCAACUUUGCCAAGUGUUGAUAAGGAGACACUGAUGUGUAAAACCUGAGCAUGUUUAAUCUUUGCUCCAGUCACUGCUGAUGGCACAUCACAUGCCUUCUCCUUUUCCCCAUCUCCCCUAAAUAUACUGGCCAAAGAAAUGAAUGGAAAAGAUUGGAAAGCAAGCACUUGCUAGCCAUAGCAGUGCUGACCAAUGCCAGUUCGGUCAGCGGCCAUGAAGUUUGAUCUCAAAGCAUAUGGAGUAGCAUGGAUGGGGAUCGGAGGGGAGCAGGGAACCUUUCCAGGGACUAUUCUGGAUGCUGAACUGGAGAUUCCAGAAGCUGCUACAGCAAAAAACCUGCCCGUAUCAUAAAUCAACUGCAUCCCAGUCCCUGCUGGAACGUGUGGAGAUAUUUCAUCUGCUGCCUCUUCAUUUCCUGGUUUGGAGACUGACUCAGAAUUGAAGACAUUAAGCAUUAAAAUUAGCU